rnacentral:lncRNA from 1 species
CAGCUCCUCCGAGAUGGGUCAGAGCUCUAUGGGGAGCCCCAGGUGGGCAUCUAGAUGGUGAAGAGCCCAAAGACUCUAGAAGUGGGUUCUCGGGACUUGCGCAUGCGUACAUGUGUUUAUAUGUGUAUACAUGUGUUUAUAUGUUUGUGCAUGGGUGUUGUGUCCAUGUGUUUAUAUGUGUGUGCAUGUGUUUGUAUGAAUCAAUGUGUACUGUAUGCAUGUGUGUUUGUGUGUGCGUAUGUAGGUUUGUAUGUGUGGGAGAUGUAUUUGUGUAUGUAGAUGGGAUGUGUGUGUCAAUGUGUAUAUGUGUACAUGUAGUGUACUUGUAUUCAUUGUCUAUUACUUUUUUUAAAAAUCCAGUUUUAGCAAAGAAUAUCUAUGGCUUAUUGCUACAUGACAAAUUACCCCAAAGCUUAGUCGCUUAAACUAUAAACAUCUAUUUCACAGUUUCUGUGGACUGGGAAUCUGAGAGAGGCUUAGCUGGGUAUUUUUGGUUCAGGGUCUCUCUUGAAGUUGCAGUGAAGAUGUUACUCAGGGUUGGCUGUAGUCUUCUGAAGGCUUGCGUGGGGCUAGAGGAUCCACUUUCAAGAUGACUCACCCUCCUGGCAAGACGAUGCUGGCUGUUGGCAGGAGGUCUCAGUUCCCUACCACAUCAGCCUCUCCAUAUGGCUGCUUGAGUGCCUCAUGACACAGCAGCUGGCUUCCUCUGGAGUGAGUGACCUGAGAGAGAGAGAGAACCAGGCAAAAGCCACAGUGUUUUUAAAACCUAGCUUUGGAAGUCCCAUGCCAUCAUUUCUGCCAUAUUAUACUGGCCACAGAGACCAACCCUGAUACACUGUGGGAGGGACUACACAAAGGCAUGAAUUCCAAGAGCCAGCUGUAUUGAUAAACUCUCUCAUUACGCCUGGGUGACAGAGCGAGUCUCGGUCUCAAAAAUAAAUAAAUAAAUAACUUAUUAAUUCAAAUAGUAUAACUUUUGGAUUUUCUACAUAACAAAUAAUAUAAAAAGAAAGUUUUAUUCCUCCCUUUCCACCUUUCUUUCAUUCCUUUUCUUGUUUUAGUACAUAGCUAAAGACCUAGAGUAAAAUGCUGAAUCGUAAUAGAAUAGCAGACAUCCUUAUCUAAAAAUCUCAGAAGAAUUCUAACUUAGUUUCAGUUUUCCCAGAAGCAGACCCGGAGACAAGGAUCUGUGUACAGGAAUUUACUGGGAGGGAGCUGUGGUAUUCAGACACAGAGUCUUGCCAGUUAUUGUUUAGAGCUGCUGUGGGAUGGAGCUUGAAUUCCCCAGCACUUCCAACUGCCAUGGGAGUGGAAAACUGUAGUCAAGCAGCAAAGAAAGCCCUCAGGCAAGAAGUGCAGAUGCUGGCAGCUGAAAACGGUAGUGUGUACACUGAAAUGGUAAAAGUGACGGAUACAGGUAAGUUGCCAACAGUGUCUUCUACAAACCCCUUCAACAUUUUACUGCAUUAACAAGUAACAUUUGCAGUCCCCAUAGGAUAACGGCAGCUGCAUAAGUCCAGCCUUUCUAGACACGCUCCUAAAAUCAUUUUGUCAAUGAAGAGAGAAAGAAGGGGAAGAAUACACAUAAUUGCUGAGCAUGGUGGCUCACACCUGUAAUACCAGGCCAAGGUGGGGGGAAUUGGUUGAGUCCAGGAGUUCAAGACCAGUCUGGGCAACAUAGUGAGACCGUGUCUCUACUAAAAAUUAAAAAAAAUUAGCUGGGUGUGGGGGCGCAUGCCUGUAGUCCCAGCUGCUCAGGGGGACUGAGGCAGGAGGAUCACUUGAGCCUGGGAAGUUGAGGCCGCAGUGAGCCAAGAUUGCAUCACUGCACUCCAGCCUGGGCAACAGACCAAGACACUGUCUCAAAACAAACAAACAACACACACACACACACACACACACACACAAUCCAUGCUUACAGCAUAAUUAGGAGACAGAAAACACCACAAACUAUGAUGGUAAAAUGUUGCCACCUGGCCACUGUUACUCUGAAGUCCUACUAUCACCAUUAACAUCAGGGAGCUCAGUUCUCUGGUAGCAUUCCCUACUGUGAACCCUGGCCUACAAAGGACAGCCACCACUCAGUCAAAGUCUAGUAACUGUCAUACUACAGCAUGCAGGGUUUACCACCACCACACUUAGCAUUAACAAACAAAUAAGAAUCCUGGUACUUAGAAAAUACACAGAAUAGACUAAGUUAAGGAAAAAGGAGAAUGGACAAAUACAAGAGAAAGAAGGAGGAGGAGGAGGAAAAAAAAAGGAGAAAGAGGAAGAGAAGAUAAAAGGGGCUGGGCGUGGUGGCUCACGCCUA